CUUAGUUAAGUCAUUCCCACCAUGCAAGUUCGAGUAGGGGUUCAAGAACAACCUCACAAUGAUAUGAUGUUGGCUAUUCUUGUUGCCUACCUUCACAACAUCAUGUAUGCAUAUAGAUAUCUUCCUGAGUGUAAGCACGCACUUUGUACUCCCCCAUGAUAGGGUGAAGUCGGUGUACGAGUCACAAACGAUCGGAGCCUACCACGGUGGAAGGCCACGAAAGAGUGUUCAAAGCACUCUCACGCUUAUCAACUUAAUAAUGGUUUGGUUGAGGGUUUUAGGUCUCAUCAUAUAUAAACAUACAUUUUAAUCUUAUUAAAACAAUUUUGGUCCUAUUACAACUAUUGGUCCAUGUGAUUGAUUUAGUAGUAUAUAAUACUCCCACUAAGCUUGUAAAACGAUUUUUAAAGCAAGAGUAUAUGGUACUACUAACAUAAGGUUUGCAUUCUUUGAUGGACUAUAUAGUUGCCUUAGGGCCUUAGGAUGACUAUGAACCUUUGAUUAGAUCCAACACGAGCCUAGUGUUGAAUCUCGGUCUAGGGAUGGUGAUUAAUUUUAGUUACGCGUUUAAUCAUAUUAAGGCGUGUUUCUCCUAUUGGGCGUUGGACCCAAUUACUCCAAUUUCAUGCAUAUCAAAUAAAACAAGAAAAUGAGUACUUCAAAGUAAAGAAGAGCUUAUGCUCUUUUACAACAUUUGAUCAAAACAAAUUAUUUUAAAGUAAAGAAAAGCUUAUGCUCUUUUACAACAUUUGAUCAUAUCAAAUUACAACCAAAAUCUAAUCUACACAUUCCCAUGGUUCAAACAAAUUUGAGACGGCCUUUCACAUAGCUCAAUUAUCGUAGACUUAGGUUCAUAAUCACCCUUUCUUUAAUUAAUUAACGUUUUAACUAAUUAAACUUGAAUGCAACUUUGUCAUUUGGUUUUUGUAUCCAUAGAAUUGAUUUAAAUGGAGCUAGAUGAAAUGAAAAUCCAAUUCUCAUUUAAAGAGACAAAACCAUUUUGUUCUCAACCUAAUUUGGGCCAAAAUGCAAUAACCUCAACUUUUGGGCAAUAUUGCAAAACAUAAACUUUUGAGGUCACUUUGUAAAAACACAAAAGUCCACUACUUUAUGUAAUUACAACUAGAACCCAAAAAUUUCAGCAAAUUCAAAAACCUCAUUAAAGGAACAAAACAAUUUGUCCUUCAGUGAUUUUGGGCCUUUACGUAAGAAACGUAAACUUUCGGGUCAAAGUACAAAUACACAAAAGUAUCAAAACUUUAUGUAAUUGCAUAAAAGCCCCAAAAGUACUCCCAUUGAGGGAGUGGCCGGUUUUGGAGUAGUGUGAAGCCAUAAAAAUUUUGAAAUUUUUUCAACAAAGUCAUAAAGCCAUGCAAGUGGAAAUUGGUUGCUGGGACAUAUGUGUGUAAGAAGAAAAUCAAUUAUGUACAUAAAUUCAAACACUCUAUCAACAUUUUCAAUCACCUUUAAUUAAUUAAAUGUCUUGUUGAUAGAAAAUUCACACCAACCAACACAAACAAAGACUUUAUAAAAUCAACCAAAACUUUGAAUCAAAACACCAAACCUUUUUGUUCUUGGUAAGAACCUCAAGAACAAUGAAGAACAUCCAUGAAAACCCAUAAGCGUUCCAUGAACAUUUUCACUCAAUAAAACUCAAAUUUUCACUACUCAAAAUGGGGUUAACAUCCUAGGGUACUUAGGGGUUCCAAAAGUCACCUUAAAACACUUUUAACAAGACAAACAAGAACCCAAAAAUCCACCCUUUGGAUUUGGCCGAAUUUCCCCAAAUACAUGGCACCAGAUUUUAGCUCCAAAAUUCAUGCUCAUAUGAACUACAUCUACAACAUUUGAGAUGGCAAAUUUUCUAACAAAAUUUACAUUCAAAGGAGCAAGAAUAAAGCUUGUAACAAUUACAACAUUCAAAUAAAAGACUAUGAACUACAAAACCCAAAAGGAUUCACCAACUACUAGACCUAGGCUCUGAUACCACUUGAAGGAAAAUUUGUGAAAAACAUGUUCAUUUGAGCAAUAUAGCAUGCAAUUAACAAUUAAAGGCGGAAACAUGCUUGUAUGCACUCAAAACAAAACAUUACCCAUGAAAUUCAAAGCCUAGUAGUUAGGUGAACCAAGACUCAACUCAAAACAAAAUGAGUUGAGAAAAUUAUACCUUUGUUGAUUCCUCUUUGCAUAAGCAAAGGAUAAUCACCCAAGAGAUAGGGCCUUCAUUCCUUGCUUCUUAGCUCCAUGGAUUUGGAUGGAAGAAUUGGUUUCUCCAAGUUCUCAAAGUUGAGAACCUCUAAGUCUCCACACCAUGGAGAGAUUGAUGAAGAAAUGAGUGACCUAGAGGAAGUAAGAUUGCUAGCUAUGUUCCUCUAGGGUGGCCGGCCUCUUAGGGAGCAAAUAGAGCUUUUGUUCUCAUCUUUUCUCCCAAAAGAAACCCUAAUGAAGAAAAGGCUAUAAAAUCAUAUUUAUACCUACCUUCAUUGGAGUGGCAAACUUGUAAUAAGUCCAAAACCCACUCCAUUAUUAAUAUGGCCGGCCAUAGGGUGUUAUUGGGUUGUUUGGACCUUUGUGAAUAAUUAGUCAUUAAGUUGUCAUACAACUUAAGUCAAUGGGCUUGACGUUCGAAGCCCA
rnacentral:lncRNA from 1 species